rnacentral:rRNA from 1 species
UGGGGAAUUUUGGACAAUGGGGGCAACCCUGAUCCAGCAAUGCCGCGUGUGUGAAGAAGGCCUUCGGGUUGUAAAGCACUUUUGUCCGGGAAGAAAUCGCACCUGAUAAUACCGGGUGUGGAUGACGGUACCGGAAGAAUAAGGACCGGCUAACUACGUGCCAGCAGCCGCGGUAAUACGUAGGGUCCAAGCGUUAAUCGGAAUUACUGGGCGUAAAGCGUGCGCAGGCGGUUGUGCAAGACCGAUGUGAAAUCCCCGGGCUUAACCUGGGAAUUGCAUUGGUGACUGCACGGCUAGAGGGUGUCAGAGGGGGGUAGAAUUCCACGGGUAGCAGUGAAAUGCGUAGAGAUGUGGAGGAAUACCGAUGGCGAAGGCAGCCCCCUGGGAUAACACAGACGCUCAUGCACGAAAGCGUGGGGAGCAAACAGG